CUUUUUUUUGCCUUCUUAAUAAAAAUCUGGUAUGUUGCUGUAUUGAAUUCAUUGAUCAUGCAGAUGUUCAUAAAAGCUCAGAUAAAAGUU